CCUCCGACUUCUUCAAAUGGACGAUGGACUCCGGUCUGUCCUGGUCUCUGUCGGAUCAGAACCUCACCCUCCUGGUUCCAUCUUCAGACGCUGUCACAAAAAUGUCUCUGGAUGACAGAAACUUCUGGACCACGAAGGGAAACCUGCCGAGUCUCAUCAGGAAUCACAUGAUCCCUGGUAACUUUCCGUUAUCCAGCCUGAGCUCUGCUUCCUCUGUCACUUCACUUCUCAAGACAACAUUUCCUGUUU